GACUGUAUACAAAGACGAUCUAUAUAAAGAUGGACCCCCCUCCCACCUGAUCCUGCUCUGGUUCAGCGUCUCCGUGGUAACGUGAUGGUCGUCCACUUCCCUGACCAGCUUUAGGUUCCUCUGAUUGGCCAGAUCCAGGGCGAUGACCCGCUCGGGGCUGGUGCAUCCUGAGCCGUCGUCCAGUCGACUGAGGACUCGCUGACCCACGGUGGCCGUCAGCAGGGAGGGCGAGGUGGAGCGAACUGAGCACUCCUCCAACAGAGACAGAGACUGAGACAUGAAGACCAGGACCCAGAGUCAGAGGUCAGCGGCUCGUAUGGGGGUGGAGCAGGAGAUGGGGGCGGAGCCACAGAGAACCUUCUGGAAGUCCCUGAUACUGACUCUGCCGUCCAGGCCGGCGUCCAACUUCCUGAGCAGCGAGUCCAGCUCCUGCAGGUCAAAGGUCAGUGGUCAAACGCAAAUGCAACAACAACAACAUCUGACCCUGAUGAUGGGUGGAG